UAAGCGCUCUAACCACUAGAAGA
rnacentral:miRNA from 1 species